GAAAACGGGUGGUAAUGCCGGAUGCUCCGACUCCUCGCAUGGGGUGUCGGGAAAGAUUUCAUCGGUAUGGGAUGGGGUCGCGUCCUAUCAGGUAGUCGGCGGGGUAACGGCCCACCGAGCCUACGACGGGUAGCCGGCCUGAGAGGGCGACCGGCCACAUUGGGACUGAGAUACGGCCCAGACUCCUACGGGAGGCAGCAGUGGGGAAUAUUGCACAAUGGGCGCAAGCCUGAUGCAGCGACGCCGCGUGCGGGAUGACGGCCUUCGGGUUGUAAACCGCUUUUGAUCGGGAGCAAGCCUUCGGGUGAGUGUACCUUUCGAAUAAGCACCGGCUAACUACGUGCCAGCAGCCGCGGUAAUACGUAGGGUGCAAGCGUUAUCCGGAAUUAUUGGGCGUAAAGGGCUCGUAGGCGGUUCGUCGCGUCCGGUGUGAAAGUCCAUCGCUUAACGGUGGAUCUGCGCCGGGUACGGGCGGGCUGGAGUGCGGUAGGGGAGACUGGAAUUCCCGGUGUAACGGUGGAAUGUGUAGAUAUCGGGA
rnacentral:rRNA from 1 species